rnacentral:snRNA from 1 species
GGUUGUGAGGGAGAUCUGUCUGAGACAUCUGUCACCCCAUUGAUCGCCGCUGUUGAUUUGGCUAAUCUGGCUGGCUAGGCGGGUGUCCUCUCCCUCACUGCUUCUUGUGUGUCCUGAAGCUGUACUCUUGAUCAAAGAGGAUGACCAUUCCCACUAGAGGAAGACCAUUCUUUGGUCAAGGGUAUAUGAGUAGCUGUACUCUUCUGCUAGAACCUCCAAACAAGCUCUCAAGGUCCAUCUGUAGGAGAACAUAAGCUAGUCAAGCUUCUAAGACUCCAGACACAUCCAAAUGAGACUCUACUUGUGGCAGUCUGCCUUU